AUUGAACGCUGGCGGCAGGCCUAACACAUGCAAGUCGAGCGGAGCGGCGGACGGGUGAGUAAUGCCUAGGAAUCUGCCUGGUAGUGGGGGAUAAGUCCGGGAACGGGGCCCAAUAACGCAUACCUUCCGAUGAGCCCAGGUCGGAUUAGCUAGUUGGUGGGGUAAAGGCCUACCAAGGCGAAGAUCCGUAACUGGUCUGAGAGGAUGAUCAGUCACACUGGAACUGAGACACGGUCCAGACUCCUACGGGAGGCAGCAGUGGGGAAUAUUGGACAAUGGGCGAAAGCCUGAUCCAGCCAUGCCGCGUGUGUGAAGAAGGUCUUCGGAUUGUAAAGCACUUUAAGUUGGGAGGCGUUACCAACAGAAUAAGCACCGGCUAACUUCGUGCCAGCAGCCGCGGUAAUAC
rnacentral:rRNA from 1 species